rnacentral:rRNA from 1 species
GUAGGGAAUAUUGCACAAUGGGCGAAAGCCUGAUGCAGCAACGCCGCGUGCGCGAUGAAGGUCUUCGGAUCGUAAAGCGCUUUUUGAGGAGAUGAGGAAGGACAGUAUCCUCAGAAUAAGGAUCGGCUAACUACGUGCCAGCAGCCGCGGUAAAACGUAGGAUCCGAGCGUUAUCCGAAUUUACUGGGCGUAAAGCGCGUGCAGGCGGUUUGGUAAGUUGGAUGUGAAAGCUCCCGGCUCAACUGGGAGAGGCCGUUCAAAACUACCAGACUUGAGGACGGUAGAGGGAGGCGGAAUUCCCGGUGUAGUGGUGAAAUGCUUAGAUAUCGGGAGGAACACCUGUGGCGAAAGCGGCCUCCUGGACCGUUCCUGACGCUCAGACGCGAAAGCUAGGGGAGCGAACGGGAUUAGAAACCCUUGUAGUCC